GUCCUAAAUAAAGAUAUGUAAACAACAUCAAUGGACAAAAGCUUUUCUACCCUGGAAUGAAAAAUUAACUGACCAUACACUAUUACAUAAUACUAUGGACAGGUCCAUUUAACCAAUAGCCAGAGGGGUGAAGGAGGUAAAAGUUUUCUAAUUAAUGAAUCAAUGAUUGUGAAAUUUACAUAGGAAAUGUAUUGUCAAAUCAUAGUGCAGCCAAUGCUUGAUUGACACAAGAAAUUGAUGCUGCUGCUGCAGGGAUUAUUAGAAAUUGAUUUUAUAAAGUAAAAGUUUUAAUGAAAUUGAUAGUUUAAAUUGAAUAAUCUUUUUUUCAAUUUUUGCUUUUAGAAGUUUUUGC
rnacentral:lncRNA from 1 species